CUUGCAAACUAAAGAUGGCGACCGGCGCACGGGUGAGUAACACGUAUCCAACCUGCCGAUAACUCGGGGAUAGCCUUUCGAAAGAAAGAUUAAUAUCCGAUAGUAUAUUAAAACCGCAUGGUUUUACUAUUAAAGAAUUUCGGUUAUCGAUGGGGAUGCGUUCCAUUAGGUUGUUGGCGGGGUAACGGCCCACCAAGCCUUCGAUGGAUAGGGGUUCUGAGAGGAAGGUCCCCCACAUUGGAACUGAGACACGGUCCAA
rnacentral:rRNA from 1 species